GACGAACGCUGGCGGCGUGCUUAACACAUGCAAGUCGAACGGAAAGGCCCUGCUUUUGUGGGGUGCUCGAGUGGCGAACGGGUGAGUAACACGUGAGUAACCUGCCCUUGACUUUGGGAUAACUUCAGGAAACUGGGGCUAAUACCGGAUAGGAGCUCCUGCUGCAUGGUGGGGGUUGGAAAGUUUCGGCGGUUGGGGAUGGACUCGCGGCUUAUCAGCUUGUUGGUGGGGUAGUGGCUUACCAAGGCUUUGACGGGUAGCCGGCCUGAGAGGGUGAACGGCCACAUUGGGACUGAGAUACGGCCCAGACUCCUACGGGAGGCAGCAGUGGGGAAUAUUGCACAAUGGGCGGAAGCCUGAUGCAGCAACGCCGCGUGCGGGAUGACGGCCUUCGAGUUGUAAACCGCUUUCGCCUGUGACGAAGCGUGAGUGACGGUAAUGGGUAAAGAAGCACCGGCUAACUACGUG
rnacentral:rRNA from 1 species